GCGAACUUAAUAAAUUUUUAGUUCAUGCUUCUUGACGUCUAACCAUCAAUUGGCUCCGCAUUCAAAACACGGUUGGUUCUUGUACAUUAAAAAAAAUCACGUUCAAUGUUCCAAUAAAUUACCAAGUGACCGGUCACGUAACUGUAUCUGCGAGGAAACACCGUGACCGUCCAACUACGUCCAACAGAUUUGCUCGUAAGACGACCCGGACGAUUGGCGCGCACUCGAACGUCUCCACGAUUGUGAUCCAUCCAUCGCGUGAUUGUUCCUCCAGCUCUGGAUCUUUCGUAGUUCUACGUAAAUUCGCAGGACUUUCUCAUCUUGAUACUCACGAUUAUGAUAUCUCUUCAAUCUCACAAUCAGGUCUUGUACCAUCUGUCGCAGCUAGCGUUGACAGCAUCUCCUAGAACAACUACUUCGUAUUCGGUUAAAGAUAAGAAACAGAAUGAGUCCUUACAAAAGAACGUGGAGGAGACAGUUUGUCCUGAUAGUCUUGAAGAGGCGGCAAGAAAUUGUACCGAGUUACCAGAAAUAAACUUGAACAUUUCCAAUGUAUUGAGAAUGAAGGACAAUAAGGUGUGCUUAAUGCUGGAUAAUGUAGCUGUCAGUAUAUGUAAAUCUUUGGAGGAGAAUAAUAAAUGGAGAGUAUCUUAUUUAUCUGGCCUAAGUUUUGCCGAGAACAAACGAGACUUUCCAUGCUCAUCGUUCACAGAGCCUAUUAUUUUACCUGUUAUUUAUCUAACAUCAAAACAGCAACACAGACUGUUGCACACAUGGUAUGGCAAGAAGCUACACAAUCACAUGCCGAUUCGCACUUUUAAAUCUCAACGUAACAUAAAAAUGGAAUUAGAGCAGAAUCCACCGUUUAUGAGUAGAAUAAAGAAAUGGCUUGGUUUGUCUUCUAAUGUACAAGUGGGUUUGGUAUCCGAGAAAGGAUCAGAUUAUGAGAAAUUGAAGCAGCUCUUCAACAGUACUGAGACAACAGUGGAUGAACAGAAAAAGAGAAUAAAAAUGGCAUUCGUGGAGGGAUACGAAUGUGGAUUACAACGUCAGACGCGAGGUCGAACAAUGUGGCUGAAAAUUAUGCAGAAUAUAAUAACUGUUUCUGCUAUUAUUGUUGUAAUUUGGCUUUAUCUCAGCUAUCCAGGAGGAGGAAUAUUCAAACUCCCUAUGAGCCAUAGGAUUGAAAUAGAUCCUGAGGACAUCCAUGUCACUUUUAAUGAUGUUAAAGGGGUAGAUGAGGCAAAGCAAGAGCUUCUGAAUGUAGUAGAAUUUUUAAAGAAUCCUGAUAAAUUUUCCGCCCUUGGUGGAAAGUUACCGAAGGGAGUAUUGUUGGUCGGCCCGCCAGGAACGGGAAAGACAUUGUUAGCGCGUGCAGUCGCUGGAGAAGCUGGUGUUCCAUUCUUCCAUGUAGCAGGUCCUGAAUUUGAUGAGAUCCUCGUUGGCCAGGGAGCCCGACGUGUCAGAGAUUUGUUUCGAGCGGCGAAAGAAAAGGCACCGUGCGUAGUAUUCAUCGAUGAGAUUGAUUCCGUGGGUGCAAAAAGAACGAACUCAGUUCUGCAUCCUUAUGCAAAUCAGACAAUUAAUCAAUUACUUUCUGAGAUGGAUGGCUUUCGUCAAAAUGAAGGUGUCAUUGUUCUUGGAGCCACAAACAGACGUAAAGAUCUUGACAAAGCGCUAAUGCGUCCUGGUCGUUUUGAUGUUGAGAUUUAUGUUAAUAAACCUGAUUAUUUUGGUCGUAAGGAAAUACUAGACCUCUACUUAUCCAGAAUAUUGACACACGAAGUUGACACGGUUUAUUUGGCACGUUGUACUACAGGAUUCACUGGAGCUGAUCUCGAAAACAUGGUAAAUCAAGCUGCGUUACGCGCAGCGAUUGAUGAGGCAGACUGCGUCACUAUGAAGCACUUGGAAUAUGCUAGGGAUAAAGUAUUGAUGGGGCCAGAAGGCAAACUAAAAUUACGCGAUGAGGAAGUCAAUCGCAUUACAGCAUAUCAUGAAGCAGGACAUGCCUUAGUAGCAUUUUACACGAAAGAUGCUACGCCGCUUCAUAAGGUCACUAUUAUACCACGAGGACCAUCAUUAGGCCAUACUUCCUACAUGCAUGAAAAAGAUGUUUAUCACAUUACAAAAUCACAAUUGUUAGCCAAUAUGGAUUCCAUGAUGGGUGGUAGAGCUGCAGAAGAGUUAGUAUUUGGUCCAGAAAAAGUGACAACAGGAGCGUCUUCUGAUUUAGUGGAGGCGACGAAAAUAGCAGAGAUGAUGGUGAAGAUUUACGGAAUGUCAGAGAAAGUGGGAUUCAGGUCAAUAGUGGAGAAUAAGAAGCUUUUCGGUAGCGGCAGCACGUACGCGCCAAGCACGAACGAGCUUAUCGACAAUGAAGUAAAGCGGCUUUUACAGGAAUCAUAUGAACGUGCGAAAGCAAUUUUAAAAACACACGCAAAAGAACACAAACAAUUAGCAGAAGCCUUAUUGCAGUACGAGACAUUAGAUGCGGAUGAUGUGGCUGCCAUUGCAAACGAAACGGGACUUAGCAAACGAGAAUCAUCUGCAGAUCCAAAGAGAUCAACAAAAUGAUCUUAAUCAGAUAAUAUAAUUAUUUAAGAACAUUUAUCAAAAAGGAGCCAGUUUCUUUUUGAUCAGCGUUUGUUCAAUAAAAAUUUAAACAAUCCACUUUUUUCCUUCAAAUCCCGUGGAUUGUUGACAAGAAAUCAGUUAUUGGCAAUUUCGUCUUCCCUUUGCACUUGGGAUUCGCAAUCGAAGAAUCGCAGAGUACUUGAGUAUGGCAGUAUAUCCGAACUAUGAUAAACUUUGAUUUAUUAUUAAAUAAAUAUAGAUAUAAAUUGUAUUGAAUUAUGUAUAUACACACACAUAUUUAUAUACAUAUAUCUAAAGAUU
rnacentral:misc_RNA from 1 species